ensembl:lncRNA
GGAGAGGUGAGAGACGGGGAGAGGAGAGAGACGGGGGAGAGGUGAGAGUGAGGAGAGGAGAGAGAGAGAGAGAGGAGAGAGACGGAGGAGAGGAGAGGAGAGAGACGGGGAGAGGAGAGAGACGGAGGAGAGGUGAGAGACGGAGGAGAGGUGAGAGACGGAGGAGAGGAGAGAGACGGAGGAGAGGGGAGAGACGGGAGAGGAGAGAGACGGAGGAGAGGAGAGAGAUGGAGGAGAGGAGAGAGACGGAGGAGAGGUGAGAGACGGGGGAGAGGAGAGAGACGGGGGGAGAGGUGAGAGACGGGGAGAGGAGAGAGACGGAGGAGAGUAGAGAGACGGAGGAGAGGAGAGAGGAGAGGAGAGAGAAGGAGGAGAG